rnacentral:rRNA from 1 species
AGUGAACGCUGGCGGUAGGCCCAACACAUGCAAGUCGAACGGCAGCACAGUAAGAGCUUGCUCUUACGGGUGGCGAGUGGCGGACGGGUGAGGAAUACAUCGGAAUCUACUUUUUCGUGGGGGAUAACGUAGGGAAACUUACGCUAAUACCGCAUACGACCUACGGGUGAAAGCAGGGGAUCUUCGGACCUUGCGCGAUUGAAUGAGCCGAUGUCGGAUUAGCUAGUUGGCGGGGUAAAGGCCCACCAAGGCGACGAUCCGUAGCUGGUCUGAGAGGAUGAUCAGCCACACUGGAACUGAGACACGGUCCAGACACCUACGGGAGGCAGCAGUGGGGAAUAUUGGACAAUGGGCGCAAGCCUGAUCCAGCCAUACCGCGUGGGUGAAGAAGGCCUUCGGGUUGUAGAGCCCUUUUGUUGGGAAAGAAAAGCAGCAGGUUAAUACCCCGCUGUUCUGACGGUACCCAAAGAAUAAGCACCGGCUAACUUCGU